CGGGUUUGUUACUUGUUGAAUUUAAUAAAAAUAAAAAUUCACCGGGUAGACAAACGCGCG
rnacentral:pre_miRNA from 1 species